GACGAACGCUGGCGGCGUGCUUAACACAUGCAAGUCGAGCGGUAAGGCCCUUUCGGGGGUACACGAGCGGCGAACGGGUGAGUAACACGUGGGUGACCUGCCCUCAGCUCUGGGAUAAGCCCGGGAAACUGGGUCUAAUACCGGAUAUGACUUCAUGACGCAUGUUGUGGAGUGGAAAGCCUUGUGCGGCUGAGGAUGGGCCCGCGGCCUAUCAGCUUGUUGGUGGGGUGANGGCCUACCAAGGCGACGACGGGUAGCCGGCCUGAGAGGGCGACCGGCCACACUGGGACUGAGAUACGGCCCAGACUCCUACGGGAGGCAGCAGUGGGGAAUCUUGCGCAAUGGGCGAAAGCCUGACGCAGCGACGCCGCGUGAGGGAUGACGG
rnacentral:rRNA from 1 species